rnacentral:rRNA from 1 species
GUUGAACGCUGGCGGCAUGCUUUACACAUGCAAGUCGAGCGGUAACAGGCCUUCGGGUGCUGACGAGUGGCGAACGGGGGAGUAAUGCAUCGGAACGUACCCAGAGGUGGGGGAUAACGCAGCGAAAGCUGUGCUAAUACCGCAUGUGAUCUGAGGAUGAAAGCGGGGGACCGAGCAGCAAUGUUUGGCCUCGCGCCUUUGGAGCGGCCGAUGUCGGAUUAGCUAGUUGGUGAGGUAAAGGCCUACCAAGGCGACGAUCCGUAGCUGGCCUGAGAGGACGACCAGCCACACUGGGACUGAGACACGGCCCAGACUCCUACGGGAGGCAGCAGUGGGGAAUUUUGGACAAUGGGCGCAAGCCUGAUCCAGCAAUGCCGCGUGAGGGAAGAAGGCCUUCGGGUUGUAAACCGCUUUUGGCAGGAACGAAACGGUGUCCGCUAAUACCGGGCGCUAAUGACGGUACCUGCAGAAUAAGCACCGGCUAACUACGUG